rnacentral:rRNA from 1 species
UACAGAGGUCUCAAGCGUUGUUCGGAUUCAUUGGGCGUAAAGGGUGCGUAGGCGGCGCGGUAAGUCGGGUGUGAAAUCUUGGAGCUUAACUCCGAAACUGCAUUCGAUACUGCCGUGCUUGAGGACUGGAGAGGAGACUGGAAUUUACGGUGUAGCGGUGAAAUGCGUAGAUAUCGUAAGGAAGACCAGUGGCGAAGGCGGGUCUCUGGACAGUUCCUGACACUGAGGCACGAAGGCCAGGGGGAGCAAACGGG